rnacentral:tRNA from 1 species
GCCCUGAUAGUGUAGGACCAGGUCAAUCAUCAUGGGCUUUCGCCCCGUGGACCCGGGUUCGAAUCCCGGUCAGGGCACCA